rnacentral:lncRNA from 1 species
CAGCCUCGCUGUCCUCGCCCUGCUGGCCCUGGAGGAAAGGGUUUAAAAACCUCCGCUCUGAUCCGUGAGUUCUCACUCCGUUUGCGACAACGGUUCUUUAUAUGAGACGCUUCUUUUAAUGUCAGCAGGUGCCUUCCGGGCUCGGAUCCUGAGGCUUCCCUUCCCGGCCACGCCGAGCUACCGAAACGGGCCUGAACCGAAAGGGCGAGAGCGGGCGCGGGAAAAGCACCUUGCCGAGCAGAGAGCGGCUGGCCGGAGCGGCGGCGGCGGCGGCGGCGAUCCCCGGGGACAGCGGCUCGGACGCCGGCUGAACYGAGACGCUGCCUCAUUAGGUGCCUUUGCGCUUUCAUUCCUGAACCUGGGACUCGCAUCCGGGCUCGUCCGGCGAACGCUUGCUCUCCUGUCUGAAGGCGCCGACACCAAAGCCCAGCGCUGCGCCUCUUCGCCGCCGCUCCGYGGGAUGGGUCUGCGCAGGUUGCACCGCUAAUCCCACCCAAGACGCCGUGCUGGGGAUCCCACCACCCUCGCCCAUCCCCGAGGAGCAGAAAGCGCCUCUUUGCCCACGUGGAACGGCGCUGCGUCACCCUCUGUCUCUUGUGGGCGCUGCGAAAAUACCGUCGACCAGCUUGUGCCGGCAUCGGCUCCAGGGUCACCUGCAAGAGGAGGAGCUUGUGACUGAUACCCGGAAGUUUUGCUUUUCUGGCAGAGGGAAGGUGUUUGCAGGACAGCCGGCUCCCCGAGCACCCUCGAAAAAGU